ACCCAAUGCCCGUUGCAUACUAUUUUUUCACUUUCUUCAGGUUGGUCCUGUAGGACGGGUGCUCCCACCCACUGGCCCUGACCUGUGCUCGCGCCUGAGCUUCCUCGGGGCGCGGGAGGAGCGAGACACCGCCCCCUCGCGGCAGGAAGGCGCACGCGCAGCGCAUGCUAAUGAGCCCGCGGCGCCACUCGCUGAUUGGCUGGCGCAUGUUCCAGCGGCUCCCGGAGCCUGCGGGCGCCCAGCGAGCGUCGUCUGGCCGCAGGCUGCAGCCCGAGCCCUUCCCUGCCCGCCCCACCGCCUGCCUGCCGACGCUGCGGCCGGCAAGGCGCGCUGGCCUUGGACGUGGGGGCACUUGCUCUCCCCUCCCAUUAGUGCCCUGAUCGUGAAUUCAUCCGGGGUCUAGGAUGACAAUUGGACACCGAGGCCAGCAGUACAGGCCGAGGAUGGCAUUUCUGCAGAAGGUUUCCAAGCCACCUCCUGGUCCCCAAGGCUCUGCACUGCGUGGGCACAGCAAAGAGGGCGAAGAGCCUGUCUCCAGGUGCAGAGGGGCACCGACUGCAGUUCAGCCGGGUCCGCCCCAGCUCUGAGUCAUGGAAGGUAAGAAGACUGAGGCUAAUAAGGACCAACACUGGAAGAAUUGUUGGUAGAAACAGUAAAGUCGCUCUCAUGACAGUAGUAGAAACACACAAUGACGACUGCAGUGAGGAGCUUCUGAGUCUAUGUGAGGAGCUCUGCUUUGAACCCCAGAGCUCAAAGAACACUGAGGCCUGGAAGAACCAGCCGGCAGGAGCAAAGAGCACAGAA